rnacentral:rRNA from 1 species
UACGUAGGGGGCAAGCGUUGUCCGGAAUCAUUGGGCGUAAAGAGCGUGUAGGCGGCUUGGUAAGUCCGCUGUGAAAGUCCAGGGCUCAACCCUGGAAUGCCGGUGGAAACUGUCAAGCUUGAGUCCGGAAGAGGCGAGUGGAAUUCCUGGUGUAGCGGUGAAAUUCGUAGAUAUCGGGAGGAACACCAGUGGCGAAGGCGGCGACCUGGACGGACACUGACGCUGAGACGCGAAAGCGUGGGGAGCAAACAGG